rnacentral:rRNA from 1 species
UACGUAGGGGGCAAGCGUUGUCCGGAAUCAUUGGGCGUAAAGCGCGUGUAGGCGGUUCGGUAAGUCUGCUGUGAAAGUCCAGGGCUCAACCCUGGGAUGCCGGUGGAUACUGUCGGACUAGAGUACGGAAGAGGCGAGUGGAAUUCCCGGUGUAGCGGUGAAAUGCGCAGAUAUCAGGAGGAACACCGGUGGCGAAGGCGGGUCUCUGGGCAGUAACUGACGCUGAGGAGCGAAAGCGUGGGGAGCGAACAGG